rnacentral:rRNA from 1 species
UACGGGGGGGGCAAGCGUUGUUCGGAAUUACUGGGCGUAAAGGGCUCGUAGGUGGCCAACUAAGUCAGACGUGAAAUCCCUCGGCUUAACCGGGGAACUGCGUCUGAUACUGGAUGGCUUGAGUUCGGGAGAGGGAUGCGGAAUUCCAGGUGUAGCGGUGAAAUGCGUAGAUAUCUGGAGGAACACCGGUGGCGAAGGCGGCAUCCUGGACCGAUACUGACACUGAGGAGCGAAAGCCAGGGGAGUAAACGGG